ensembl:lncRNA
GGUAAAAGCAACAUACUUCCAUUGGUCAAUUGUACAUUGGAAACAGCCAAGCAACAGCCCAUCCAUUGGUCAGAUGCACUAGGGGUAGGUUGCAUUUGGACUGGAUGACAACAACCAGGAAAUAAACAAAUACGGCUCUUUUCAGCGGAAUUUCAGGGUUGGGAAAAUAGAGCUCCCUCCUGUAUUUAGCAGGCACCUGAUGGUGCAUUUCAUUCCUCCGGUCCUCCUGAAGGGGUUCCAUGGUCCUUAUCUCUCUGGCGCCAUUGUCUCAUGAUGUGUUGGAGUACAGAGAUUACUAGGCACUUGUCUCACAUCGUCCUUGUAAGGUUUCAGUCAGAGGGCUCGCUUGGUGGGACUUACGGAAUAUCCGGACUGGAGCCUGGUAGAUUGCAGUCUAUAGGUAGCAAGGACAAGUUUUUCCUGAAAUCAACAUGUUUUAACGACCAUCCUCUUUGCCACCACUACCAAAUUAUGGCCCGUCAUUGAACUCCUAAAUUAAUGUGUCUCCAAGUCAUCAGGAACAAAGGAUUAUUUCUCAGAGAGGAGACCAUAACAUAAAAUAUACUGUAUCGUUAUUAUUGCUUUUAUUAUAAUUUUUUGUUACGAACCGUUGUUUGAAAUCAUGUCAGUAUGAAUGUACAAAAUACUCUAUUUAUUAAAUCCUCAUUCAUGCAAAUUAGAAAUUAUAUACUGGAG